ensembl:lncRNA
AAGAAAGUGAGACAGGUUUGGCGCAACAUGAGAGUGAAUGAUGAUAGAAUCUUCAUUUUAAGGUGAACUCUCAUGCAUUCAAUGAAAAGGGUAAUUAAAGUACAGUUUGCAUUUUGUUAAAUUGUAUAGGCAAUAAGUUAAUCCUUAAAUGUGUAUUAUCUGAGUAUUUUGUGCCAGAAUUGUUAUUGUUGGAAUCUUAGCACUCAGGAAAAAAAAAAAAGAAAAAAAAUCUGACAACCAGAGGGGACCCCCCCCCCCCCCCAGAAAAAAAUACACAAAAUGUUGUAACAUUUGUACUAAACAAUGUGCAGUUAAAUUGAUAACACAGCAAAUAAUUUUUGUUUGUGUGUAGCUCACAGCGGGCAGUUUACUUUCCAGCUCGCUUAUUCGGUACAACACAUCUGUCACGAGAUCUCUUGGGUAUGUCCUCAGUUCUGAAUCAACUUUUUGAUGAAUUCUUAAUAUUUUCACUCUGACAAUAACACUUACUCUUUAUGAGAAUGAGUCAUACAUGAAAAAUCUUAUCCAAAACAUCCAGAAAACACCAGAGACAAAGGCUGACAAUGAUAACAGGAAGAUCUGGGAAGAGGAACAGCAGAUAUCACACAGUUCUACAGCAAUGGGAAACAAUGGUCUAUAUCCAUGCUCACAGGAUUGGUUGCUCAAGUCUCCUGUCCUAUCUUCCUCAGUCAAGGUAAGUAACUUGAAAUGUCCUGCAAUGUAUUUAAUUUGCUUGUGUUUGUUAUUAGAAGAUUUACUUAGUUAUAAUGUAGCUUUUGGUCUUAUUCGGUCAGUACACGCCUCAUCUGUAAAUAUCUGUAAAUUAGCCGGCGUGUUUUUCUCAAAAAGACUGUUAACAUUUUGGCUAAAGGGAGAGAAAUUUCAAAUCCAACUGGUGUAUAAAUCAACAGAUGGGCGUGGAGACGUGGACUUGGAGAUGUGACAAGUGAUAUUUGAAAUCGCGAUUGACAUAAUGAGUUGAAAAAAGAGAUCUCAAUAAACUUGUCACUCAGUCUUAGAAAGGUUCGGUC